rnacentral:rRNA from 1 species
GACGAACGCUGGCGGCGUGCUUAACACAUGCAAGUCGAACGGAAAGGCCCUGCUUUUGUGGGGUGCUCGAGUGGCGAACGGGUGAGUAACACGUGAGUAACCUGCCCUUGACUUUGGGAUAACUUCAGGAAACUGGGGCUAAUACCGGAUAGGAGCUCCUGCUGCAUGGUGGGGGUUGGAAAGUUUCGGCGGUUGGGGAUGGUCUCGCUGCUUAUCAGCUUGUUGGGGGGGUAGUGGCUUACCAAGGCUUUGACGGGUAGCCGGCCUGAGAGGGUGAACGGCCACAUUGGGACUGAGAUACGGCCCAGACUCCUACGGGAGGCAGCAGUGGGGAAUAUUGCACAAUGGGCGGAAGCCAGAUGCAGCAACGCCGCGUGCGGGAUGACGGCCUUCGGGUUGUAAACCGCUUUCGCCUGUGACGAAGCGUGAGUGACGGUAAUGGGUAAAGAAGCACCGGCUAACUACGUG